rnacentral:rRNA from 1 species
GGCUCGAGGACGAACGCUGGCGGCGUGCUUAACACAUGCAAGUCGAGCGAUGAAGCUUCUUCGGAAGUGGAUUAGCGGCGGACGGGUGAGUAACACGUGGGUAACCUACCUCAUAGAGGGGAAUAGCCUUCCGAAAGGAAGAUUAAUACCGCAUAAGAUUGUAAUAUCGCAUGAUAUAGCAAUUAAAGGAGCAAUCCGCUAUGAGAUGGACCCGCGUCGCAUUAGCUAGUUGGUGAGGUAACGGCCCACCAAGGCGACGAUGCGUAGCCGACCUGAGAGGGUGAUCGGCCACAUUGGGACUGAGACACGGCCCAGACUCCUACGGGAGGCAGCAGUGGGAAUAUUGCACAAUGGGGGAAACCCUGAUGCAGCCAACGCCGCGUGAGUGAUGACGGUCUUCGGAUUGUAAAGCUCUGUCUUCAGGGACGAUAAUGACGGUACCUGAGGAGGAAGCCACGGCUAACUACGUGCCAGCCGCUGC